GAGGAAGUGGCUGAGUUAAGGUGAUAAAUUGUAAAUUUAUUUAUGGGUGUAGACCCCUUCCUCA
rnacentral:tRNA from 1 species